AUUGAACGCUGGCGGCAUGCCUUACACAUGCAAGUCGAACGGUAACAGGUCUUCGGAUGCUGACGAGUGGCGAACGGGUGAGUAAUACAUCGGAACGUGCCUAGUAGUGGGGGAUAACUACUCGAAAGAGUGGCUAAUACCGCAUGAGAUCUACGGAUGAAAGCAGGGGAUCGCAAGACCUUGUGCUACUAGAGCGGCCGAGGGCAGAUUCAGUAGUUGGUGGGAUAAAAGCUUACCAAGCCGACGAUCUGUAGCUGGUCUGAGAGGACGAUCAGCCACACUGGGACUGAGACACGGCCCAGACUCCUACGGGAGGCAGCAGUGGGGAAUUUUGGACAAUGGGCGCAAGCCUGAUCCAGCAAUGCCGCGUGCAGGAUGAAGGCCUUCGGGUUGUAAACUGCUUUUGUACGGAACGAAAAGCCCCGGGUUAAUACCCUGGGGUCAUGACGGUACCGUAAGAAUAAGCACCGGCUAACUACGUGCCAGCCGCCGCAGUAA
rnacentral:rRNA from 1 species